UUUCAUUUUAGAUCUCUUACCUUCUUCUUCUUCUUCUCUGUUAGCCUUUUGUUCCAUCGUUAUUUUGUAUCUGUAUCAGCCUCAUCUUUGUUUUUUUUUUCUUUCUUGUAAAAGGUUCCCAUCUCAAGCUUAUGAGACCAUAGGUGGAGUGAAGAUGGAUCUGUGGCCACUGAAGAAAGGGCAAGAUAAGGAAUGAUUGUAUACGAAGAGAUAUUAGCAUAACUUAUUGAGGAAAAGAAGAUAGAAAUUCGGUAUGCAAAGAAGUCCAUUCGAGGCAUUGGUGAGGAGAGAUGACAUGAUUUCUAGCCCCAUGAGCAGUAAAGAGAGAUCAAAAAGGACAUUGGACAAAUUAAAAGGGAUUUCAUGAUAAUCAUCGGUAGCUUCAUUAAUAUUCUUUCAAGGAUACAUACUUGAGGUAGGCAAGCACAUAUCCGGCGAUAAUGUUUGGAGGCAA